UUUUUUUUUUUUUUUUUUGACAGAGUCUCGCUUUGUCACCCAGGCUGGAGUGCAGUGGGGUGAUCUCGGCUCACUGCAGCCUCCACCUCCCAGGUUCAAGCGAUUCUCGUGCCUCUGCAUCCUGAAUAGCUGGGAUUACAGGUGUGCACCACCACAUCCUGCUGAUUUUUGUAUUUUGAGAGAUGGGGUUUUGGCACGUUGGCCAAGCUGGUCUCGAACUCCUGGCUUCAAGCAGUCCACCCACCUUGGCCUCCCAAAGUGCUGGAAUUACAGGCGUGCACCACCACGCCCGGCCAGAUCUUCAUAUAUCUAAGAUCCUGUCAAGAAGACAUGGUAAACCUCAUCAUGAUCAAGAAUGAGACUUUGCUUGCAUCCAGGCUUCCCAAAAGUUGUUUGAUAGUAUACAGGCAUGAGAUGGUGUGACUCUAACUCAUUAGAUGCCUUCGUCUUUUCAGUCAUCAUGUGAUGGAAAGAAAGCUAUCAACUUCAUUCCUGAGACUUCCUGCAACACAGCUUAGUAUGUCUAGCAUGGGCAUGCCUGCUGAAGUUUGGAACUUCCCAUCAAGGAAACAGGAAAAUGCCAUUGGCAAUGAGCUGAAGACUGAUUUACUCUACCAGUUUGGAACAUCUGUUAUUGCUGCUACUACGGUUUCUAUCACUGUUUGAUGCUGGGACUCUUAAGCUCCAACCACGUUUUCACCGAGCUGAGUCGCCUUCUUAUCACCCCUUUCUGGAGCAGCAGGACAUCUGGGGAUGAGAAGAUGGAGAGAUCAUCCUUAUAUAAUGUUGCAGUCUGGAAGCAUCACUCUCAAAAAGCCAUUGUAGAGAAUCCAAGCCGAGUUUAAGAGUGCUGUGGAAAUACACUGCUGCUACUGCUGUUUCUAUUACUGUUUGAUGCUGGGACUCUUAUGCUCCAACCACGUUUUCACCCAGCUGAGUCGCCUUCGUAUCACGCCUUUCCACUCAGAGAGGAAGAAAGGACCGUGUGAGAGAAGAAGGGAACAGCCUUUCAUCCAUAGGAGAAGUUCGUCUAUGACAAAGCCACUAGCUCCAUGUGGCCGCUGAGCACUCAAAAUGUGGCCAGUCUGAAUUGAGAUAUGUUGUUAGUAUAAAGUCCACAUCGGCUUUUUGAGCACUUUGUAUGAGAAAAAAGAAUACCAAAUAUCUCCUUAAUAAUUGUUACAUUGAUUAUAUGUUGAACUGAUAACAUUAUGGAUAUAUUGGAUUAAAUAAAAUAAAUUAUUAAAAUCAAAUAAAAAAUAAAA
ensembl:lncRNA LINC01203 long intergenic non-protein coding RNA 1203